GGAGAGGUGGCCGAGCGGUCGAAGGCGCACGCCUGGAACGCGUGUAGGCCCGAAAGGGUCUCCAGGGUUCGAAUCCCUGUCUCUCCGCCA
rnacentral:tRNA from 2 species